AUUGAACGCUGGCGGCAGGCCUAACACAUGCAAGUCGAACGAGUGGCGGACGGGUGAGUAAUGUCUGGGAAACUGCCCGAUGGAGGGGGAUAACUACUGGAAACGGUAGCUAAUACCGCAUACCAUCGGAUGUGCCCAGAUGGGGUUAGCUAGUAGGUGGGGUAACGUCUCACCUAGGCGACGAUCCCUAGCUGGUCUGAGAGGAUGACCACGCACACUGAAACUGAGACACGGUCCAGACUCCUACGUGAGGCAGCAGUGGGGAAUAUGGCACAAUGGGCGCAAGCAUGAUGCAGACAUGCCGCGUGUAUGAAGAAGGCCUUCGAGUUGUAAAGGACUUUCAGCGAGGAGGCGUUACUCGCAGAAGAAGCACCGGCUAACACCGUGCCAGCAGCCACGGUAAUAC
rnacentral:rRNA from 1 species